rnacentral:rRNA from 1 species
UGGGGAAUAUUGGACAAUGGGCGCAAGCCUGAUCCAGCCAUGCCGCGUGAGUGAUGAAGGCCCUAGGGUUGUAAAGCUCUUUCACCGGUGAAGAUAAUGACGGUAACCGGAGAAGAAGCCCCGGCUAACUUCGUGCCAGCAGCCGCGGUAAUACGAAGGGGGCUAGCGUUGUUCGGAUUUACUGGGCGUAAAGCGCACGUAGGCGGACUUUUAAGUCAGGGGUGAAAUCCCGGGGCUCAACCCCGGAACUGCCUUUGAUACUGGAAGUCUUGAGUAUGGUAGAGGUGAGUGGAAUUCCGAGUGUAGAGGUGAAAUUCGUAGAUAUUCGGAGGAACACCGGUGGCGAAAGCGGCUUUUUGGCCUGCAACUGACACUGAGGCGCGAAAGCGUGGGGAGCAAACAGG